UCCCGAGGGUUGGACGAAGUAGAGUGAA
rnacentral:piRNA from 1 species